AUUCAUAAUUAUUCUGGAAUUUCAUUUCACAUAGAAUGCAUAUAAUAACAUUAAAUAUAAACACAUGUUUAUUUCACACAGUGGUAUAUCAUUUAAUCAGAGGAUCUAAAUAAGGAGAGGUAGGAGAAAAUGUCUUGUUAGACCAAGGCAGGUAAGUUUGCCCAGCAUUGACAAUGGGGAGAAAUCAGUGCCAGUUCAGUAUCUACCCUGCUCCCCGGCCCAGCCUGGCCAGCAAGCACGGCUUAACUAUUCAGUUUGUGUUCAUCGAUUACUUUCAAAUAUGGUAUUUUAUUAUUUGAUUCUAAUUAAGAUAGCACUAAUUUUAUCACAAUAACUUAAUUGUGGAAAAAAAAGAUGAACAUUUACUUUGGGUUCGUAGUCUCCUAAAUCAGCUGUGUACAUGAUCAUGGGAAUGCAUGCUGGGACACUAUGAUGAGGCCAGGUGAGCGCACACUGGGACACUAUUAUGAGGCCAGGUGAGCGCACACUGGGGCGCUAUGAUGAGGCUAGGUGAGUGCACACAGGGACACUAUGAUGAGACUAGGUGAGCGCACACUGGGACACUAUGAUGAGGCUAGGUGAGCGCACACUGGGGCACUAUCAUGAGGCUAGGUGAGCGCAGACUGGGGCACUAUGAUGAGGCUAGGUGAGCGCACACUGGGACACUAUGAUGAGGCCAGGUGAGCGCACACUGGGGCACUAUGAUGAAGCCAGGUGAGUGCACACUGGGGCACUAUGAUGAGGCUGGGUGAGUGCACACUGGG
rnacentral:lncRNA from 1 species